AUUGAACGCUGGCGGCAGGCCUAACACAUGCAAGUCGAGCGGAUGAAGGGAGCUUGCUCCUGGAUUCAGCGGCGGACGGGUGAGUAAUGCCUAGGAAUCUGCCUGGUAGUGGGGGAUAACGUCCGAAAACGGGCGCUAAUACCGCAUACGUCCUGAGGGAGAAAGUGGGGGAUCUUCGGACCUCACGCUAUCAGAUGAGCCUAGGUCGGAUUAGCUAGUUGGUGGGGUAAAGGCCUACCAAGGCGACGAUCCGUAACUGGUCUGAGAGGAUGAUCAGUCACACUGGAACUGAGACACGGUCCAGGCACCUACGGGAGGCAGCAGUGGGGAAUAUUGGACAAUGGGCGAAAGCCUGAUCCAGCCAUGCCGCGUGUAUGAAGAAGGUCUUCGGAUUGUAAAGCACUUUAAGUUGGGAGGAAGGGCGGUAAGUUAAUACCUUGCUGUUUUGACGUUACCAACAGAAUAAGCACCGGCUAACUUCGU
rnacentral:rRNA from 1 species